UAUAUAUAUAUAUAUACACACACACUUUGCAAGAGGGGCCGUCUCUACUUUGAGUCUGUGAAGCAUCCAAACUAAAUGACCUGGAUCUUAUUUGCUUCUUCUUGGAAUAUAGGACAAUAACAUUUAAAAACUGUUCAUGUUUGUUUCAAUGCGUGGUACCUAUGGUAACAUGUACACACGUGUGUGUGUGUAUGUACGGGUAUUGGAACAUUAUGUGUAAAGCAGAUUUUGCUGUUAAGCAUAUGUAACAAAGGCCGCAAUAUUUGGACAUAAACCUCAAGUGUUACAUAAGUGAAAAUUGUUGAUGUCAUGAUGAAGCUAAAUGAAAAGUUAAGAGAUCACAGAAGGGAUUACAAUUCCUCCUGAGGGGGAUGUGAACGUCUAAAUCCUAUUUCAAAACAAUCCAUAGAAAGUCCAGGAUCAUCAGAGUCACAAGGAUUAAUCAUCUGGGGACCACAAAUGUCUGCACAAAAUCCAUAGAUGUUGAUCCCUUAUUAUUUAAUAACUGUCUAUUAAGACAACGUCUCGGGAUCAGCCAAAGUUACUCAACUACCAUCAACCUUUGGCCGCUAUAAUUUUAUUGACAUAUUUCAUGGCAUCUAGCGAUUCUAUUCAUUAAGGGCAAUGACACUAAAGACCAACAAAAAGACUGACAUUGGCCUCCAAAGAGGCCAGACACGUGCACAGAUAGACUCGUAAUGGUGCUCAAGCCUCGAGUCUGGCCAAAAAGGGAAAUAUCCAGCGUCAAAAUCCAUGAAGGUGAAAACAACAGUGAUUAAACGUGCAUCCUCCAAAGUUUGAUAUGUAAAUACACACAAGCAAAUUCAAAUGGACGAGCCAACCGUUAUCUUCUCAUUCCACCCUUUUCCUGGUAUCAUAGUAGAACACUUAUCCAGAGAAGCUGGGAGUGUAAUGGCACAAUAGUUUAAGCUGCCAUCAGUCAACAGGUCUUAAUCCGUUGAGUCCUGCUCCAUAUUCCUCUGGGAGAGAAAGCGUAUUAGAUUUCACUUAUUUGGACUCUCAUAGUAACAGAAAUACCAACUGGCCAACUGGGAUUUGCACAAAAGACUCUCUUCUGCUAACCCAUUAGGGCUGGGAAGUCUUUGACAUUCCAACACACAUGUACAUGCACAAACACACCUUUACUUGUUCGCGGAUGCAUGCAUGCAGGGGAACAUGCUGUGAAUACACAUGUAUAACGCACUCAGAGGAGCCGGAACAGCUGUACUGAAGUGAUGGAUUUUCACUUGUGUUUUUUUUUUGCAGGCUCACAAGUCAGACUGCAGGAUUAUUUCUGCUUUAAUGAUCCGUGCACCGUGGCCUCGCCAAGUGAAUAUGAAGUGCAGAGCUCUUAUUGCGGUCAUGCAUGAAAAGCCGUCGCUUCAGAUCUAAAUGAGAGUCCGAUACGUAUCGGUUUACACUUCCUGCCUUCGGCCCGGCGGUCAUCCAACCCCCAGCCUAAUCCCGAACCCCAAAAACCAUCACCCCACCCCCCCCUGAAAGAAGGUCACAGGUCAGAAAUCAAUCAUGCAAGACACAAGCAACAACAGUUUGUGUCCGCGUAACAGCCUCCUUCAGGACUAAAGACAUCUCUGCUUUUUAUUGCGUGUUUUCAGCGGUUAACAUUAAAAGCUAAAUAGAAAAAGAAUUUAGUAGAGCAGGAUUAAUGCAUGAAAAAAUUAAAAUAUUUUCCUACUCUUAAUGCCAUUUGCAUAUCUCCCCCAUUGGCCUGUCACAAAGACCAAUGAAGCUGAAUGUGGGCGUGUCAGCGAGACAAUGCAGGCCAGAGUCCAUUCAUCUCCAUACGUCAACAGGAGCGGCUUUGAGCCAGCCACAUUCUGGUCACUUUAAAGAGUCUGCUGCACCAGACAUGAGUUAAUGGGCUGCUGAUGGACAUGCAGAGGCAGGUGCUGUUUUUGUUGGCUGGAGCUGUGGACGAAAAAAAAAAAAAAAGCAGAUUUAAAGCUGUACAACUUACAAAGCUCUGCAGUGCCUGGAGGAGCCUACCGGGACAAAUCUCAAUGCCGUAUGAAUUAUUUGUUUCCUCGGGUUCAGUUUUUAAAGUAAGAUACAUAUUUGUUUAGUUGGAAGGGGGUGGGGGGGGGUCACAGAAAACAUCACCGCAGAUGUCAAUAAUAUUAAAGCAAGCCGCCGAUUAUUUGCCAUCAUCUCUUUUAAAACAACCCACGUUGAGAUGAAACCCUCAGACCCUCUCAGGCUGCCUGUCACAAUCAGCACAGUCAGUCACACAGUUAUGCAACGCAAUAAAACUCAACCCGAGAUGAAACAAGGAAACUGCCAAGACAAUUUGCUAACAAAGACCUGGGGAGACUAAGAGACACUGAUUUACAACAGAGAGAACAAUUAGCGUUGAAAAGGCUCCAAUUAAAAUGACUCCCUUUGAUCAGCGGAGGGAACGCAGCUUCAGCGUGCACGCCAUCUGCGAUGGCGCAGGCAGAUCAAUCUGAAAUGAAAUAAUUAUGGCAAAUUAAUGGGUGUAAAAGUCACCAAUUGAUACGCCGGGGAUGAUUUCAUACGUCUAAUUGGAAAUGGGAAGAAGAUACGCUCGAAGGGCGAGGAGAGAUUUUAUGGGAUGAAGCAGACAGAAGGAGAGAGACUGACAAGAGACAAAAGAAUAGGUAGAUGGAUACAUGGCAGAAACACGUAAUCUGACAUUAACAAGUAAAGACGAAAGAAAGAGAGAAGCAGAUAAAAAGAAAGAAAGGCCGUGAGAGAAGGAGAAAGCAAUUCAAGGUUUUGACAUCUGCAUCACUCUCCUCCCCAGCAUAUGACUGCAGACAGAAUAUUAAAGCACACAAAUCCUGUCUGCAAUAUUCCAUAAAGGUGCAAUAAAUUUAUUAUGGAUUCAAGGGAGGACUUAAUGCUUUCAAAUCAUUCCCAAUACGUCCGCGAUCAAAACCAACAGCCGCAAAUCAAAUUUGGACCAAAUAACUGUCACGUUGGGCAGAUUAAUGAACGCAAUACAGGUCCUUUGACGUGAAAUUAUACCGUACGAGAGUUAACACUGGAAAAUAUGUCCUUCUACCUACUUUGGAAAACAAAAGAAAAAUACAGCAGCUGCCAAGGACCGUUAUUGGCUUGUAUAUUUCUGCUUCUGCGCUCACCUGAAAGCUGUGUGACAGUCCUGGUCGAUAUUCAAAUGCAGACACUCAAGCAUCCUGCGAGGAGGAAAAAAGAGAAUAACUGAAUAGCUAAUGUACUUGACAAUGGUGUUGACUUGUUUUGCUGCCUGCUGUGGACAGAGAGGGGAAAAAAGCACAAAUAUGAGUAGAAACAGCCGGGAAAAGAAUGAAUUUAGGAGCGAGACGAAACUGCUCAAAUUUAAAAAAGUAACAAUUGUAAUUGAAAAUGUUGCAAGAUUUUCUCAUUUCUAAUAAAAUCACUUAGGUGUCAGAUUCCUAUGCUUUCUAUUUCUGGAAUUUUCCGGUCUUGUUUUCCUGCUCAGAAGAGGAGACUGGAACACCUGCUGACUGAACAGGUGGGACGCUCUUCCAGGAGACAAGAAACAUGCUCCUGCUCGCCCCCUCCUAGGAAACCCAAACACCCCGAGUAACUGAGGUGUUAAUUAAAACGAAAAAGGGAGGAUGUUAAAACAGUGAGAAAAAAAAAAAAAACGCCUACUCCCCCUCAAGUUCGGCUUGGCUUGGCAGACGGCUGAGCCGGGACGGGAGGUUCAUGCUAAUUGUCACGGCCUUUCAUUUUGGGAAGGCACGUCAGAAUCCUCGGCGGAGGCUAAUUUGUAAGUUUCCCUCUGAGUACGAUCAGUCUGUCUCGUUUCUUUUUGUCAAAUAUGCCUCCCUCCCGAUUCCCCCUCCCCCCGAUAUUCCGCAAAUACGUAGGCAAAAGAGCUACGAGGUUCAAGAGAGAAGAAAAUGAACGUGGAAGUAACAAACCUGCCUGGAUCUCAAUAAGCCCAACAGCUGUGUGACUCCAGCUUAAUCAUUUUUUGAUAAAUCACCUCAGUGAAAUAUUUUCAAGCCAGAAAAUUGCUGCGUUGGCUUUAUGCAACCGGGGUGAAAAUUAACUGUUUACUUCAAAGAAAUCGCUUCGCAUUGGUCAAGUCUUGUGCAGCCGUCAGACCCUUCAUCAUGCCAAGUCCACGACGCGGCGAAAUCAGGAAACAUUUGUGGCGGGAACGAAAGGUCGUUUCGGUCCGCUGUGAUGAACCGAGGCAUCAGUCAGCGUGGUUACAUGGAUUGGAAUAACUGGCUUAGUCGGACUGAAAUGGAAUUAUCCGUUUCAUGUAAACACCUUUGUCCGACUGUGCGGUCCGACUACGAUCCGAUCAACACCCCUGGAUAACUCGGUCCGAUCCAGUUGAUAGUGCGACUAUUGCGGCAUGUAACGGUGAAUCGGAUGAGGAACUGGACUUUGCGUCUUUGCGCAUGCUUGAGAUCCCGACGGCGUCUUCUCUCCGUUAUCAAAUCAGCCAAUAGCGCCAUUUCGCAUUCGCUGUGCUCCUAUUAACAUCAUGCAAAGAUAGUAGAGGGAUGUAGCUUCACCUUGCUCUCCGUUCGCCAUCCUUCUCGUAAUGUUGUUGUUGUUGUUGUUGGUUGUUGUUGGUAGUGGUGAAGCGGUCAAGCGGAAAUGGCUGUAUCACAACUAGUCGUAAUGAAAACAGCGCCACCUAUCGUAUCGGGUAUGACGUGCUUUCAGCCAAUGACUCGAUUUAUUCACUGCCAUGUAUAUUGGGAUAAUAGCACCUCCCCCCGAAAGAGAGCAUAGUCCGACUAAGCAAAGAUUCCAAUUAUACCAUCAUGUAAACACGCUGAGAGAGAGGAUCGGCCUCCACAAAGAGUCACGCACGCACAAGUCUAUCAAAGGCCUUCUGUCAUCAGCGGUGUGCACAUGUGCUUCGGUGAGCUGACUCACUCGCACACACACACACAUUUGAAAUACAUACUCCUGCUCACACAAAAGGGAGAUGAAGAGCGACAGAUCUUUAUGCGUGUGCGUGUGUGUGUGUGUGUGUGUGUGUGUGUGUGUGUGAGUCACUCUGUAGUUAAACCAUAGUUGUCUUCUAACCCUCCCUCCCCCUCCCUCUCCCUUCCCUCUGUCUGCCUCCUGUUUACUUUAAGAUCAUGUUUUCCUUUGCGGCUUGUUUGAAGAGAGCGAGGUCGCCCGGCGGAGCUUCACUGUUCUCCCAGGAGCCGGUUUGUGUCGCCAUCGCGCACGCGUGUUUACGUACGCGUGUGGACAUGGUGGCUUUUAACACAGCAUAAACGUUAUAAACAUUUCCUCGAAUGUUCUCUGCGCUUUGGAGUGUGUGUUAAUCUAUUGUGCUCUGUUUUCAGUCAACUUUGAAGCCGCGGUCAGUGGACAAGAUCCCAUGAGCCCUUUUUUUUUUUUUUUUUCAAAUCCGGCCCCUGCAUUGAAGUUGACACAAUGGCCCCGAGCGUUUGCUGUUCUCAUGCACGACGGUUUCUAUGCAGAAAGCAAAUGCGCCACAAUUGGUGCAUGUACAACCCACCUGAGCAAUGCGUUGCAUGAAAUUGUGAGGCAGAGUAUGAAAAGCGUCAACAGGGGACGGGCGAGUCUGAUAACGUCGGCCUUCAUCUAACUGCCGCAUGCGCACUGUGAGGCAAAGCAGGUUCAAGGGUCAUGAUUAGUCUUUUCCACACAGUCAUGUUAGUCAAAACUAAAUUUAGCUUGAAAUUGUAAAAGUGCCACAUGGCCCCGUCAAAACAAAAUGAAUGAAAAAUGUUGCCGCUUCUAAUUUAACCCCUUCAAGGUCUCCGGGCUGCUAUCCAGUGCAGUAAAAUAAGCAAAACAAGUAUUAUACAGCGUAAUACAAACAUGGUGCCCGCUGAUUGCUGAUAAUGGUGUGUUUCCAUGGUGUGUGUGUGUAUGUGUGUGUGUGUCCUGUCACAUUUGGGUUUUUUCAGUGAUCACCCAUGCGGAAUAGAAACAGGUGUUAUAUGUUGUCAAUAAUUACUGUGUAUACCUCUUCCUUUUACAACUGCGUGUGUGCAAUUGUGUGUGUGUGUGCGUGUUCGUUCCCAAAUGGUUUUGAUGGGUAUGUGGACAGGUGACAACAUGCCAAAAACAUGCCAAAAGUAAAACAACAGGCCUGCAGAAUUCCCCCUUGGGCUGCUGCUGCAGGUAGAAUACGUCUCACUGGCUUCUUGUCUUACACAUUGUGGGCUUUCUUUUUCAUUUUUCAGUGGUUAGGCUUCACCGCAGAGAAGCAUCACAAUGUACGUUCUUUUCUUUUUUUUCUAACAUUUUGUCGACACUUUAAUUUAGAGCAUUAAUCUGCUUUUCAUGCAUUCAGUACAAUGUUUAUUGAGAUGCAGAUAUCACAUUUUUAUAUAUAUAAAACAAACAUUAAUGGCGCACGCUUCACUGGAAAUGGCUUUUUCGUCGUCAUAUCUAAACAGCGGGCUUGUUUUUUGUGCGACGACGAAACAAUUUUCUGUCCGGGGAGCGGCUGAACUCAACAAGUGCACCGCAGGCGUCCCAAAGUGUCUCUUUGGCUCUGAAUGCCCGGCUUUGGAUUGAGAGCAAGGUUUAUGGUUUUUGCAUUGUGCGUCGAUGUUCACACUUCCUGUGGCAGUCUCUCCAAAACCAAGGCAACCAUUCUUUUUACAGUAGAACCCCACCUCCGCUUUCCCCGUGUAACAAAUACUUCCCCAGUGGACACAAUCAAACAAACAAUACGGCUUCUUUUACUGAAAACCAGAGUGCCUAUUAGAGAGAGCAAACGACCUGAUUGUUGAUUGUGUUAGCAUGUCUGAGUGCCUCCCUAAAUUGCCCACAAGGGUUGAACACAGGAGAGAGGAAGGGGGGGACGGGGGGACGUAGAAAGGGAAGAGUAAAAAAAAAAAAAAAAUGAAAGAAAGAACAACAACUCUUGACUUGUGAAUGAAAUGAGUGCUCGUUUGGAGACACGGGAAUAGAUUAGCUUCUGGGGUUGCAGCGUGAUUACGGAGCUAUUGUUGUCAUUGGAAUAUAUCAUAUCGCAGCGUCUCCUGCAGCCUUGGCUAAAUAAAUCUGUCGUAAUCCCCCCGGUGAGCCCAGGCGGCUUCGCGAGCGCCUACUUAACCAGGCUAAUUAAAACUCUUCCUUGUCUUGCUCUGCCCAAAUUUACAUGCCGAGCUUCUGUCUGGGAGGUUGCAGAGGCUCCAUCGGUGGGAUGCAUCUUAUAAAAUGACCCCCCCCCCGACCCACGCAGAAGAAAAGAGCAGAGAAACAAUGUGAAAACUUACCAGGAAUUAUUCUGUCCUUGUGUGAUCUAAAUUCGGGGGCAUUUCGUUUGAUGACCCACUUUCCUCUGAAGGCACGUGAGGAAGAAUGAGGAACACUGGGACGCGUGACUUCAUGCACACACGGCACUCAGCUUUAUCAGUUCAACAAUUAUUGUCACCCGGCUAAUUAUGAAAGGCAAUUAGUACUGCUUACAUGGCAGGGGAAGGAGGAUGAAGAGGGAGAGAGAGGGAGAGAGAGAGAGGGAGAGAGGGAGAGAGAGGGGCAUGCUUUUUUCCCUCAGCACAACAUUUCAAGAUUUGUAUCUUGAAAAUUGGAUCGGAGGGGAAGCGCUGUGGCUCCCUGGGAAAUAAAGCGUCCUCACGUGGGAGUGCUUGUCACUUAAUCAUCUGGAUUUGUUCAAGGUGACAUGGCGAUGCACUCGGGAGCCAGCGGUCCAAUUCCUCCUCUGGGGGCGGAGGGGCUUAAUGAAUGGCUGUGUCCUCGGGCGACCUGCCUUCCCUCUCCUUCGUGCUACCAAAGAUGAUGGAUGAGGAAUCGUGUGCCGUCUUUGACUUAUUAUAUUGUGUACAUUGAGAGAAAGGAGGAUGACGGGAGAUGAGGAGGAGACGUGUGAUCAAGGUUGUGAGUCACACAAAGUAAAUAUUUGCGCUCUUUCAUUAAAACUACAAUAACAUGAAGCGGGAAAACAACAGAAACUGAAAUAAUGAAGUGAUGGAGGUUUUAUUGAUUAUUCUGAAUGCAGCUGGUAGGGAUCGGCUGUUCUAUCCACCAACAUGGUGUAUCUUUGGAGUUAAUAUACCGGUGUUAUAUCCAUCCGUAUUGUUUUAUUAAAAUGCAAAUCUUGUGUAAAGGAAGCUUUUCCAAAAAUGACGGCUUCCAGCCCACGCAGGCUGUCUGGUAACGUUUUGUACUCAAGCUGCCUUCUGACAACAAAAACAGAACAAGAUGCCACCGAGGACACUUAUAAAUAUCUGUUCAGCUGCUGAAACAGAAAAGCGGAGCAUCCGUCACAGGUACGUCCCAACUGCAGAAAAAGAGAGCAAAUUUCACGUUUACCAUGUUGUUUUUGGAACUUAACUUUGAACGUUAAGCAUCUGCUUCUGUGGCUGGAACCCAGUUUGAUUUAUUGUAUUUGCAUCCAUGUAACCGGUUCCCUCCAGAACGUUUUGUCGUCUUUACUGCGUUACUGCACGUCUUGUGCGUUCGUCAUCGUUCGAGAAGUGACCCCACGCGUUCACACGUUUCCGUGUAGCGGGUUGAUUUGUCAGCGGGUGGGAGGUGUUGCAGCUCAAAACACACUGUCACUAUGUUGUUCAUUCACGGCCGUCAUUCUGAGAAAAACUUCUCCAAGGACAAAAGAGGUGGUUGUACGGACUGCAGUGAAAGACAAGCACAGACACACACAUGGCAAUGUUCGAUUGAUUGGACUGUAAAUCCUUAGCUCCCUUCCGGCACCGCAUGCGUGCCGCCCCCAUCGUGUUCACGAGUCGUGACGCGCCACAAAUCAGCAGAGCAAACGGGGGAACGAGUCCGCCAAGACCGCCGCCCCGUUCUCCCCACCUGGUCGGAGAGGGGAAACAAAAGCUGGACGGGCCUGACGGAGGGCUGCUGCGCCUCGCUGGAGCGCCUGACCUAAUUAGAGCAAUUGGAGACGGGCACUGGCUGCCAUCAAUCACGACGCCUCCGAUGGGGUCCUGGGAAGGGUUUCAACGGGCCGCGGGGAAAGGCGGAGGAAUCAGGGGCGCGCUUGUACGCGGUGUUGCACACUUUGAGGGUUGGCGGGUAGAAUUCGAUGCCUUGCCAUAGUCGGAUUUACAGCGGGUGAAACGGCGGAGUCGGCAAGGCCCUGGUUUAGGGUUGAGGCGUUUGUGGUGGAGGAAGGGGGAGAGGGGGGGGGGGCAGCUUGUCAUCUGUAAUGGAGGAAUGUGGGGCCGUGUCGGUGGGGCAGAGUAUUCCCUUUCUCACUGGUCAAAAAGGAAAAGAAGGGGCAGGGG
ensembl:lncRNA